AGUCAAUGGUCGCGUUUGGGCGUUGGGGGAUCAUGUCGGGAUAGAGCGAUCCAAUUCUCGUCAUGCAAGAGUGAACCGCUCGUUCGGAAUAUACACGCCGAGCAAAGUCCACAUAUUUUUGGACCUCAAUGUAGACGCCAAUUAUUUAUUGUGUACUUUGAUCACAAGCUGGGAAGAUUAUAACCCGAGUCCCUCCAUAUACCACUGCUUUGCUGUGCCUACGAACAAAGGGCGGGGUAACUUGCGCCCUGUAAACCAAUUUUGUAUCUCUUUCCUUUUUCAAUCUGCUGCAUUAUAUUACCAGCGGCGCCACCGCACAGAUACAUUGGACGCAGUAUAUCCAAAGCACGCGAAGGUGUUGAUAAACGCAGUUUGGAAUCAGACCAGGAAAAGGGAAGACCAAAAUCCGUGCUGAAACAUUGGAAACGGAUCAACCACAAUAAGGAAAUAUCAAAGAUUGCAUGAACUCCUCGUCAGUCACGCAACCUAGCUGCAUUCGAGGAAUAUACAAUAUCGCAAAACCGACCAACAAGCCUUCUUCAGGGAAAUAAUAUAUAUCCUGAUCAACGUAUAUGUUAUAAAUUGGAGUACGGUUUAGAUUGGAUAUAUUUUUUUUCAACCAGCUAGUUCUUUGGUAUAAUUCGAGAUGGCUUCUUCCUCAACACAAAUGGCUCUGCACAAGAACAUUGAUCAACUUCAGAGGGAACUCAAUAUAGAGAGGGUCAAAGUAUCACAGUGUACAGCUGACCUCGUUCAGUACUGCGAGCAGGAAGUAGGAAACGACUUUCUCUUGACACGGGAACUCCAUCCGGGUCAAAUCAACAACUACAAAGACAAAAAAGGAGGAUGUACUCUACUCUAGUUCUUUCAUUCAUCUUUACUUCUGCACAAGAUUCACAUAUAUCUGAUGGCAUAUAUCAUACACACCGAGCAGACUGAAUGUAUAUCUACAGAGUCCUAUUGUAAAUACGAAUGGAUACAUGUACUAAUUCACACAAAAUCCCAUUUUUAUAAUCAUAUUUAAUGUUCUGUGAAUAUUUUUGAAUGAUCAAUUUUGUGUCUUUCCUAAAUGACUAAUCAGAUGUUAUCUUCCCAUAUUGGCAUGAAGUUUUGAUGUCAACUUUGAAAAAAAGGAGAGAAUAUUGUAAUUUUUUACGAUGAAAUUAUGAGAGAAAUUAUUUAGUAUGAUUUGCACUCAUUUCGCCAACAUAUUUUUACAAAAAGCAUUUUAGGAUUACUUUUCAUUUUACCGCGUAUUCUUGGAUUUUCGUGUGUGAUAAACUCAUUUUUACUUCAAUAUUUUGAUAGACUAUAUGCGUCUUUUGCUCAUUUUUUAUUUCAAUGUAUGUUUUGCCCUCUUGAUAAUAAUUAUUUUACUUUUAGUCUAAAACAUGUAAGCCCGAAUAAACGUUAUUUAUGUAGUUGUUUCUUGAACUUUUGUUCCUUUUCAAACAAAAAAUACCGGAAUAUCUGACGCAAGGCAAGUUUUAACAUACAAAAUGUUGUGCAUUUCCCGAGACGUGGUUACUUGAUGAUCAUGUUAGAGUUGGACAGUAUCAUGAAGUAUACAUAUAUUUUGCCUUAAAAAUGGAUAACAAUAUCACUUAACUUUAAGAAAACCAACAAAGAGUUUGUAAUGAAUUAAGUCGUUGGACUCAUUUUUAAGUGUGUUUUUAUGACAUUUUAUCAGAGCUUUUCAGUUUUAUUCUCUUGUCCCUAAGUUUUGUUAUUUCAUUUUUUUAAAGUCACUCCUUUACCCUUUCAUAUGGACUCUACACUGGUAAAACUGCACUAAAAAACACUGGUGUUGAUUUAACACCAUUCCAGUAUCUAUACCGGAAAAUACAGGGAAGUGCUAGUAGAAGCAUCACCAGUUUCAGAAUCAAACCGAUAUUGGUUUAACACUGAUUAGUGUUGUUUAAAUGCCUAUCUGGUGUUGGCCUAAAGCCGGACUGGUGCUGUUUCAACGCCUCUACAGGUAUUUUCCGAUAUAUAUAGAUACCGAGCUGGUGUUAAAUUUACACCGGUACUUUUGCAGUGUGAGGUGUUACACCUAAAUCCAAUUACAGUCAUCUCAGAGGACCAUAUUAACUUGAGAUAUUAAAAUUGCACCCAAUAGAUUGAACAUACAUACAUUGUAACACCAGGAUGUUAAAGUAACAACCAAAGGUGUUGUACUACGAUAGCACCUCAGUAUGUUGAACUUAACACCAAAACUUCAACACCGGUGUAAAAUGACUUGUGUGCAUGUCUUCACCACAGUUUUUGUUUCGUAUCUUUCAUAUGUUAAUGUUGACAUUUUAUGUUACAGUGAUUGCCCAAAAUAUGAAGAAUUUUCUUGUUUUAUAGUUUCCCAUUACAACUUGUCUAUUCUCUAUAAUUCUUUGUCACCGACAGUACUUUUGUAGAUUAUCUUUCCAGAAAGGUAGUUGAGUUUGACGUCAUAAUGAUUCCUCAAACAGUUUUUCUUAUACUUGGGUGUUUCGUUGUGGAAACAGAAUGUAUACUGCAUAGCUGCUUGUAUUCGCCUUACCAACAUUUUAUUGUAAUUUGUUGUAACCACUAUUCGUUAAAUAAAACUUGAAUACUUCUUAA